rnacentral:rRNA from 1 species
UACAGAGGGGGCAAGCGUUGUUCGGAAUUACUGGGCGUAAAGGGCGCGUAGGCGGCCUGCUAAGUCGAACGUGAAAUCCCCGGGCUCAACCCGGGAACUGCGUUCGAGACUGGUGGGCUUGAAUUCGGGAGAGGGAUGCGGAAUUCCAGGUGUAGCGGUGAAAUGCGUAGAUAUCUGGAGGAACACCGGUGGCGAAGGCGGCAUCCUGGACCGACAUUGACGCUGAGGCGCGAAAGCCAGGGGAGCAAACAGG